AGGGAUGGCAACGGGCGCCCAUGGGUGCGGGUUUGAUACUUACCAAACCCACACCCGAAAUCAUCACCCAAACCCAAACCCAAACCCAAAGGUUGUUCGGGUGGCAAAACUACACCCACGCCCACACCCAUUGGGUUCGGGUUUUUUCCACCCAAACCCAAACCCGCAGCACAUUUGAAAAUAAUUUGCAAAUUUAAGAAAUUAAAUUUCAAC
rnacentral:lncRNA from 1 species